AUUGAACGCUGGCGGCAUGCCUCACACAUGCAAGUCGAACGGCAGCACGGGAGCUUGCUCCUGGUGGCGAGUGGCGAACGGGGUGAGUAAUACAUCGGAACGUACCCCUGAAGUGGGGGAUAACGUAGCGAAAGUUACGCUAAUACCGCAUAUUCUGUGAGCAGGAAAGAGGGGGAUCGCAAGACCUCUUGCUUUAGGAGCGGCCGAUGUCGGAUUAGCUAGUUGGUGAGGUAAAGGCUCACCAAGGCGACGAUCCGUAGCGGGUCUGAGAGGAUGAUCCGCCACACUGGGACUGAGACACGGCCCAGACUCCUACGGGAGGCAGCAGUGGGGAAUUUUGGACAAUGGGCGCAAGCCUGAUCCAGCCAUGCCGCGUGAGUGAAGAAGGCCUCGGUUGUAAAGG
rnacentral:rRNA from 1 species